UCUCCCCGCCUUUGAUCUGAGCUUGAGCUGCGCAGAGCUGUGCGGUGCGGUGCGGUGCAGGAGCUGCGGCGCUGACAUGGUGAGCGGACCGGUGCGGGAAACACGCCUUUCGCCGGUCUGCUGUCCACUUUUUUGGGAUCUUUAACCAACAGCCUGCUCUUCUUUUGAUCAGCUCAAAGCAGUAGGUGGCCGUCAAGAUGUUUUGGAGGCUUCCACACAGCUUGUCGCUCCUGCUAGCUGCACAUAUCGUCUUCUCAGCUUUGAUCGGCGUGGGAGCCAUGGAGGGGAGCAGAGAGUGCAGAGAGCAGGAGUACAAGGACCGCUUCGGGAAAUGCAAACCCUGCAAACAGUGCGAUGCAGGACAGGAGCUUU